rnacentral:lncRNA from 1 species
AACUCGCAUCAUUAUUUGGAUGGUCUGUAGAAUAUCUAGAGGGACAAAAAAAUGUAAAGGAAAGAGAGAGAGAGAUAGAGAAAGAGUAGGGUAGAGAGAAUUCUCCCUUUCUUCCUUGGAACAAAAGAAAGCCCUCCCCCUUUCUUCAAAAUAGGGCAACACCCGUUGCUUCCGAGGGCUGCCGUGGCCCGAUGGAUGGCUACCACGGUGGCACCCAGGAGGCAAGUCAACGGCCCCUGCGAACCUGGACGACAAGCUACAGCUGGUGACUGGCGGCACUGUGGAAGGGAACGAAAGGAAAAACAGGGGAGAUCCAGUUUCAAAGGAAUCUGGUUCAAAACCGGCCAUCAAUCGGCUUAAAACCGACAGCCAAUGGUGGCUUUAGAACUGUGAAGGAAGAGGAAGAGGGUUAGGAGUUCAUUACCUCAAUUUCCGGUGAGAAUUCAACGAUGACUCGCCGAUGUCUUCUUCAUUUGGUUUUUUUGCUUUCUUUUGAUUUUUUUGACUGCUUC